UGUGAUGGGGAAGCUCCUUAUGGAGCGAAGUCUUUGAUUCCCCGCUGCCAAGAAAAGCUUCUAGCGAGAUAAAAGGUGCCUGUACCGCAAACCGACACAGGUAGGCGAGGAGAGAAUCCUAAGGUGUGCGAGAGAACUCUGGUUAAGGAACUCGGCAAAAUGACCCCGUAACUUCGGGAGAAGGGGUGCUUUCUUAACGGAAAGCCGCAGUGAAUAGGCCCAAGCGACUGUUUAGCAAAAACACAGCUCUCUGCGAAGCCGUAAGGCGAAGUAUAGGGGGUGACACCUGCCCGGUGCUGGAAGGUUAAGGAGAGGGGUUAGCGUAAGCGAAGCUCUGAACUGAAGCCCCAGUAAACGGCGGCCGUAACUAUAACGGUCCUAAGGUAGCGAAAUUCCUUGUCGGGUAAGUUCCGACCCGCACGAAAGGUGUAACGAUUUGGGCACUGUCUCAACCAGAGACUCGGUGAAAUUAUAGUACCUGUGAAGAUGCAGGUUACCCGCGACAGGACGGAAAGACCCCGUGGAGCUUUACUGUAGCCUGAUAUUGAAUUUUGGUACAGUUUGUACAGGAUAGGCGGGAGCCAUUGAAACCGGAGCGCUAGCUUCGGUGGAGGCGCUGGUGGGAUACCGCCCUGACUGUAUUGAAAUUCUAACCUACGGGUCUUAUCGACCCGGGAGACAGUGUCAGGUGGGCAGUUUGACUGGGGCGGUCGCCUCCUAAAGUGUAACGGAGGCGCCCAAAGGUUCCCUCAGAAUGGUUGGAAAUCAUUCGUAGAGUGCAAAGGCAUAAGGGAGCUUGACUGCGAGACCUACAAGUCGAGCAGGGACGAAAGUCGGGCUUAGUGAUCCGGUGGUUCCGCAUGGAAGGGCCAUCGCUCAACGGAUAAAAGCUACCCCGGGGAUAACAGGCUUAUCUCCCCCAAGAGUCCACAUCGACGGGGAGGUUUGGCACCUCGAUGUCGGCUCAUCGCAUCCUGGGGCUGUAGUCGGUCCCAAGGGUUGGGCUGUUCGCCCAUUAAAGCGGUACGCGAGCUGGGUUCAGAACGUCGUGAGACAGUUCGGUCCCUAUCCGUCGUGGGCGUAGGAAAUUUGAGAGGAGCUGUCCUUAGUACGAGAGGACCGGGAUGGACGCACCGCUGGUGUACCAGUUGUUCUGCCAAGGGCAUAGCUGGGUAGCUAUGUGCGGAAGGGAUAAGUGCUGAAAGCAUCUAAGCAUGAAGCCCCCCUCAAGAUGAGAUUUCCCAUAGCGUAAGCUAGUAAGAUCCCUGAAAGAUGAUCAGGUUGAUAGGUUCGAGGUGGAAGCAUGGUGACAUGUGGAGCUGACGAAUACUAAUAGAUCGAGGACUUAACCAUAUAA
rnacentral:rRNA from 1 species